GACGAACGCUGGCGGCGUGCUUAACACAUGCAAGUCGAACGGAAAGGCCCUGCUUUUGUGGGGUGCUCGAGUGGCGAACGGGUGAGUAACACGUGAGUAACCUGCCCUUGACUUUGGGAUAACUUCAGGAAACUGGGGCUAAUACCGGAUAGGAGCUCCUGCUGCAUGGUGGGGGUUGGAAAGUUUCGGCGGUUGGGGAUGGACUCGCGGCUUAUCAGCUUGUUGGUGGGGUAGUGGCUUACCAAGGCUUUGACGGGUAGCCGGCCUGGGAGGGUGACCGGCCCCAGUGGGCGAGGGGACGGGCCAGAGCGCCACAGGGGGGAAGGGGGGGAAAAUUUUGCAAACGGGGCGGAGGCGGUGUGGAAGAACGCCGGGUGGGGAAGGACGGCUUUGGGGAUGGAAAAGCCUUUGGCUUGUACCAAGGGGUGGUGACGGGAAAUGGAGAAAAAGCAACGGCCAAACUAGGG
rnacentral:rRNA from 1 species